UUGACAGGCGGCGGCCGAGCGGAUCCCUGCGCGCCUGGCCAGCCGCCCUGCUCCGCGGAGCCGGGCAGGACCGGGGCGGCGCGGGGGAUGCGGGCAACGUGCGGCCGGCCGAGCGCGCCCCUGCGGCCCGACCGGGAUCCUCCCCAAUCGCGGUCGUUCUUUGUCCCGGCCACCUGGGAACGCGAUACCUGCUAACCAACGCGGAAAGAACCAAGACGAAAUUUUCUGGCCGAAUCCACCCAACUGCCUGAGGAACUCACGCGAGGUAGCGGCAAAGCUGGGAGCGAACCCAGGCGUCUCCGCGCAAUUUCCCACACUUUCGCCUUUGUGGCCUCAUCUCUGCCCUGAGCCACUGGACCAGCUUUCCAUCUGUCCCCCUCCUCCAGCUGGACGGACCCUUUCAGCCUACUCUCCCUGCAGCCAUUGUGGCUACACCACUCAUUCAACCCACUGCUCUCCCUAAAGCCUCUGGAGUGCCCCUGAGCUCUUCAGGAGCAGGGAUUGCUGCUUGCUUGGCCGCUGUGGCCCUCCUCUGAGCACAGUGCUGUGGAUGUCCACGUGCAUGGAGCACAUGACUGAAGAGAAGCAGGUGUUUAUAAAGUGGGUUUGAGCAUUCUUGAAGGAGGUGCAGACCCUCUAAACCUCAUUCAGAGGCCAGAAGAUAGUGCUAAGCGUGGAAGGUGGAAGCAUGCAGAGCCAUGCAGUGUACUGGCCAUUCUCAUCCACAACACUGUCUAUACGUUCCCUACCGGGCCCUCUCCUCCGUGCCGGAGAACCAGAGCUUCCACACAGUGGGUGCAGAGCACUCAUCACACAGGACAGCUACAAGAAUAAGACGCUGUGGGAGGAACACUCUGUGUGGACAGGACAGGAGAGGUGAGGCCGGACCCCAUCUGAAGGCCAAGAAAGGCUUUCCUGGAGGCUGCUGGCUAAGCUGGGAGCUAACUGGGCGAGGGCUGGGGAAAUGCUUUUGGGUCAGGUAGAGGAUGUUGUGCAGAGUGUGGCUACGAGGCGCUGGCUGCACUGCAAAGGGGCCUGGCUGGAUCCCAAAGGCAAUGGAGGCUUUUAUGCUAGAGAAGGACUGGAUCCAUUCUGCUGUGAACAGUCCCGCAGCUGCCAUGUGGAAGAUGGACUGAGAAGAAGCAAGAGAGGCUGCUGAGCAAUCAGCAGAACUCUAGAAAGCGCAGUGAGACGGCCAGACUUGGUGCCAGGAGUGGGAUGGGCAGAAGGGCCCCCAAGGAGAUUCGCUUGGGCAGCGAGCGUGAGGUGUGGGCAAUGGGAGGUGUGGGUAGGAAGCCAAGGCCAGUUUUUAGAAGAAGAGAGACUGAGAGUCCAGAACUCCCCUGGGUAGCUCAAGGCAUUCUGCAGCCUUCACGGUGGCUUGCAGUAGCAAAUGUGUCACCAUUGCCAGGCCAAGUCAGACCCCUUUCUCAAAUGCGCAUCACACGUCACCUCUUUGCUAUAGAAAUUUUAAUUGGUUUUUUAAAAAUCCAUUUUAUUUCAAAGAGGAAAAAAGUUUCAAAACGUCACUAAUUUUCAGCACAUCACUGGAUUUAUAAGGAAAACAUAAUCAGACAAUAUAAAAACCAUCAAAAGAAAGCGGAUUUGAAUACCUCGGGACAGCACGAGUUACACAGGUGAAGCGGCCUUAAUUUCCGGAAUGCACAGCACCCCGCCCCGCAACUGGGGUUCACAUCCGGGCUGCGGACGCCACUGCGCGCGCUCAGCAGCGGAGAGGGCCGCUUUCUAGACGCAGGAACUGAGAGCCGGAGAGGAUAAGUGGCUGGCGCGAGGCCUGGAGCUGGCAGAAGCAACUCGGGGCUCCGUCGUGGCUAGGUCUGCUUGCUCCUCACACCAGCGUCUGUCCCUUGGGCCGCAGCACCUCUUCCCUCUCCUGCCUGUUGUGCCUUCCUGGCUGACCACCCCCACCCCAAUCUGACCAAAUUCAAGGGCAUGCAGCCAGCUUCCCGUCCCAACCGAACCCCACAGCAUAGAGCCACUGUCAUCAUUCCUACAUGUGACCUCUGCUCAUCGCCCCUCUUGGAGCAUGUAUUUUCUGCCAUAUUGCACACCAAUUUCUGGAUUUGCUGUAGGCCUAAUAAUAAACUACACCCCGGGCCCCUUUUCAGUACUGGAGAUCAAACCCCGGGCUACAUCUUCAACCUUUUUAUUUUUUUUAUUUUGAGGCAGGGCCUUACUAAAUCAUUAAGUUACCCAGGCUGAACGCCAGUUUGUGGCCUUCCUGCCUCAGCGUCCCAGAGUGCUGGGAUUACAGGCAUGCGCCACCACACCCAGCUGACUUUGCACCCCUUGAGGUCAAGGACUUUGUCUGUGUAUGAGGGAUGUUUGUGGAUUUGAAGCUAUGUAGAAAAGUGAUUCAACAGACCCAAAAGUUGGUAAAUGAGGCUGAAACAAUGUAUCUGUGUGUGAAUAAGGAAAUGCAUACAGUAAAGUUUCUGGUACAAAUGCUUGUUUGUAAAUAACACAGUUUGCAAAUAAUAGCAUCUGGCAAAAUUUUGCUUCCCUUCACAAACUCCCACAGUGGGUGACAAAUAUUACCACGCGGUCUUCUCCACAGAAAUGCAAAGGCAGCCAUCUGCCCCAAAACUGUAGAACAGAUUAAGCUCAAAAACUGAGGCACUGCUAUCAUUAUUUCAUAUUUUUAUUAAUUUUUUCUUAUAAAUAGCGAGUUUAUGCAUACACACAAGUAUUUCCAUAUAGUCCAUAAGUUUCUCUUCAGACACAUAAUAAAAUCUGUAUAUGCAGAGAGCAUUCUGAAAAAUAAAAGAAUGGAAUAAUAUUCAUACAUAAAUUUGAAAUUAACCUUCUAAUUGUAAAAUCAGUUUUAAGGCGUUCAUACACAUCUUUUUACGUAAUCAUUUCUUCAAAGACGAUUUCUCGGGUUUGAUCCCCGGUACCGAUAAAAAGGAAAAAGACAAAAACAAAUUAAAACAAAAGAUGAUUUCUCUCUUUCAUAAAACCCAUACUUACCUUGCUGUAUGCCAAACUCAAAGACUCAUGCAGUGUUACAGUUGGAAAUGAACUUAAAAGUCAAAGGGGUUGAAGGGAGGGUAGGGAACCAAGUUAUCUCAAGUACAGAUACAAAUUCCCUAUGAUGAAUGUGAUUGUUAUGUAUACUUAAAAUAUACCAAUAAACCUGAUUGAUUAAAAAAAAUUAUUCAGUCCAGUGCCAGGUGUGGUAGGACACCCCUGUAAUCCUAGCAUUGGGGAGGCUGAAGCAGGAGGAUUGCUGCAAAUUAAGAGGCCAUCCUGGGCUACAUACUAAAUUCAAGACCAGUCUGAAUAACACAGCAAGAUCCUGUCUCAAAUAAAAGUUGCACACAACCUCCAGGGGGCAUUUGCCACGCUCCCUUGUAACCAGACGUGGCCCUGUAGCCAGUGAGAGCCAGCAGUAUGCGACCUUCCAGGAAGUCUCCUUAAAGGAAGGCUUCCAUUCUCCUAGCCUGUUUUCCUCCCUUUCCUUGCCUGAAAGGGCGGCUGAGUCCUGAUGACCUCAGGAUGUCACCACAGCAGCACUGGACGGCCUAUUUCUGGAUCUUAUUUGAGGAAAAGUACAGUUGCUAUUACUUAGGCUGCCACUUUGAGUUUCCAGCUCUGUGCUGCCAAAUCUGACUGACCUAUCUUGCUACUGCUGGGCCCUGUAAACCUGCUCCUGUCUCAGCAAGUGACAGUUCUGUCCCACCAGCUGCCCAGAGCAAACACCUUGGAGUUAGUACUAAAGACCCUCACACCCCACGACCCUGCCGCCAGCAAUUUGUCAACCCUCCAAGCGGACCAAACCCACCCGCUUCCCUCCCUUUCCCCAUCCUCCCUCCAUAGCAGCCCCAUCCUAAAUAGCUCCCUGUGUUCACUCCUGUCAGCCAGCCUCUCUCCCCGUCUGUGUCACACAGAAUAGCCAGGCUGAACCUGUACAAGGGUAAGCUGGCCAGGUUACCCGCUGUCCUUAGAGCUUCUCAAUGGCUGUAGGGAUGGAGAGCGAAGUCCUCCCCAGAGCUACUGCCUGCGGAGGCCAGGUCCCCGCCUAGGCCUCUGACCUCACCACUCAACAGCCCUCUUCCCACCCUGGAGCUCACCGGCUCCUCCUGGGGCUGUCUGCUUUGGGCUCUGUCCAUCCCCACCCCUUAUUCCCUCCCUUACCCCUGCAGGCCUCUGACUGAAUGUGGCUUAUUGGGAAGAUCUUCCAGACCACCCUAAAAUAAAACUCCACUCUGCUGACCUCUCUGCAUUCCUUCUUCCGUGCACUCACUGCAUGGCCUUUGCUGAGUUUGUGGUUCAGAUCUGUCCCCUGGAACGGGAAGAUCAUUUGCUUUCUUCUGUGUGGUUCCCAGUGCCCAGAAAAGGGGCGCCAUGUGGCAGGUGCUCGAUGCAUGGCCACUAGUUGAAUGCACGAGUACCUGAACACUAAGCUAGUGUCCUUUAACCAGUUCCUGCAGCCUCUGAUUAAAAUCCAGGUAUAAGUGUGGAGUUCAUGCAGCCAUUUGUUCUGAGUUUAAGUACUGCCAUUGGGUCUACUAGCUGUCCCUGACUAAGUAUCUGCUGUCAACAAAAAAAUCAACUUCACUUUACUAGUUAACUAAAAAAAUAUAAACAAUUUUGGGUUUCUAUUUUAAUAAUUUUAUGGUUAAUGGCAACUUUAAAAAAAAACCACCUUGAAGUGAGAGCUGAAUUCCAGGCUAAUUUGUAAGAGUGCAAAAUCAAAAGUCUUUUUAGCAAAAUACAAAGCCUUUCCUUACUGUUCUCAGUUAAGAGGGUCAAAUAGACCACGCAUUAUCCAGUGAGGAACACAAGCAGUCCUCUCAGAUCUUCCCAGCUUUAUGGAAAAUCCUGAUGAUUAAUUUUAAAACAUGAGUACAUAAAAGUCCACUAAAACAGAUUUGUCUUUUCAUCCACAAACUAUUUAUUUCUUUUCAAAGUUAGGAAGUCUUCAGCUGGCCUUGUAAACUGAAGUAACAAAUCUUUAAGUAAACUUUAUUUACUAAGUAAGUCUUAAGCUCAGAACAUUUCUGGAGACAAUGUAUCAUUAAUAUUUGUUUCCAUCUGGAGAAGAACAAAGCCUGACAAACACCGGCUCUUUGCUCCAAGAAGACCAACAAGCAGUCUAGCUCCUUCCAGCAGAUAGCAGGUUGAACCAUGCAAAGGAAAAAUUGUCAAGCGCUUUGAGGUUUUGCUUACAAAAAUGCAUACUCCCCUCACACACUGCUGAUGGUCUGUGCUUCGAGCUUCUGAAAUAUUCUUUCUUCAGGAGGGGAAAAAGCAUCUCCCAAGAAAGUAAAGACCUUGCUUUUUGAAUACACAGAAUGCAUUCCAUUAAUUCUGUGUUCACAGCAAUUUAUCUCUCCCUUCAGGUUCUUCUGAAGUAAACUCACAACAGCUCUGGAAGACAGCUACUGACACACAUGUUGAUUAGGUAACCCUACACAGGGUCCCACACACACAAAAUAAUAAAUGGUAGCUGUUACCACUUCAUGACAACUAUCUAGUAUACUCAAAACACUGGCACUUUUUAAUAUAAUAUAUGCAAAUAAAUUAUUUGGUAGAGCACUUGGAAAACACAAAAAGUAAGGAUUUAAAAAUCUCCCGCAGAACUGUGCAUAAAACCUCCCACAAACAAAAGAGAUGCUGUGGACUAGACAAUUGUACCUCUAAUGACUUCAAAAUAGUGACCUCUGCUGGCCAGUGAAAACCUGUGAGCCUUCCAAUCAACUUGCAUGAUGGAGCAAGGGUUGAGUCAGCCAUCUCUGGAACAAAAGCCAGGUAACUGUCUCACAAGGGACAGAAAUCGUCACACGGGUUUCCACGAUGUAACUGGGAUGUUAACAGAAUAAAAGGCCUUUCCAUUUGCUCACCCAUCCAAAA